rnacentral:rRNA from 1 species
ACGGAAGGCAGCAGUGAGGAAUAUUGGUCAAUGGACGGAAGUCUGAACCAGCCAAGUCGCGUGAAGGAUGAAGGUAUUAUGUAUUGUAAACUUCUUUAGCAGUGGAGUAAUAAGGGGAUCGGGAUCCCUGAUGCAAGUACACUGAGAAUAAGGAUCGGCUAACUCCGUGCCAGCAGCCGCGGUAAUACGGAGGAUCCGAGCGUUAUCCGGAUUUAUUGGGUUUAAAGGGUGCGCAGGCGGCUUUUUAAGUCAGUGGUUAAAUCGUGACGCUCAACGUCAUCACGCCAUUGAUACUGGAGAGCUUGAUUGCGGUCGAGGUUUGCGGAAUUCGUCGUGUAGCGGUGAAAUGCAUAGAUAUGACGAAGAACACCGAUUGCGUAGGCAGCAGACCAGUCCGUAAAUGACGCUCAUGCACGAAAGUGCGGGGAUCGAACAGGAUUAGAUACCCUGGUA